rnacentral:misc_RNA from 1 species
GAUGAAGAACGUAGCGAAAUGCGAUAAGUAAUGUGAAUUGCAGAAUUCCGUGAAUCAUCGAAUCUUUGAACGCACAUUGCGCCCGCCAGUAUUCUGGCGGGCAUGCCUGUCCGAGCGUCAUUUCAACCCUCGAACCCCUCCGGGGGGUCGGCGUUGGGGAUCGGCCCUUUACGGGGCCGGCCCCGAAAUACAGUGGCGGUCUCGCCGCAGCCUCUCCUGCGCAGUAGUUUGCACACUCGCAUCGGGAGCGCGGCGCGUCCACAGCCGUUAAACACCCCAAACUUCUGAAAUGUUGACCUCGGAUCAGGUAGGAAUACCCGCUGAACUUAAGCAUAUCAAUAAGCGGAGGA